GAGUUUGAUCUUGGCUCAGAUUGAACGCUGGCGGCAGGCCUAACCACAUGCAAGUCGAGCGGUAGAGAGAAGCUUGCUUCUCUUGAGAGGCGGCGGACGGGUGAGUAAUGCCUAGGAAUCCUGCCUGGGUAGUGGGGGAUAACGCUCGGAAACGGACGCUAAUACCGCAUACGUCCUACGGGAGAAAGCAGGGGACCUUCGGGCCUUGCGCUAUCAGAUGAGCCUAGGUCGGAUUAGCUAGUUGGUGAGGUAAUGGCUCACCAAGGCGACGAUCCGUAACUGGUCUGAGAGGAUGAUCAGUCACACUGGAACUGAGACACGGUCCAGACUCCUACGGGAGGCAGCAGUGGGGAAUAUUGGACAAUGGGCGAAAGCCUGAUCCAGCCAUGCCGCGUGUGUGAAGAAGGUCUUUCGGAAUUGUAAAAGUCACUUUAAAGUUGGGAGGAAGGGCAGUAAAUUAAUACUUUAGCUGUUUUGACGUUACCGACAGAAUAAGC
rnacentral:rRNA from 1 species